ACCCCACACUGAGUGGGGUC
rnacentral:misc_RNA from 1 species